AGCAGCUCACCCGUGUGUCAGUGUUUAGUGUCCAGGUGUGGAGUGGAGAUUCUUCUUCUUCUGCUGUUUUUGCAGAAACUGUUCUGGUGGUGAGCUGUUAGGGCUGCUCGUCCUGCCCCUCUGCUUCUAUAAAACCUCCUGAAUUACUGCAGACGGAGCGACUCCCUUUGAGCUAACUGAAGAUCAGAGACCUUCAUCCACCUGAGCAGUUUUGGAAGAAAGCAGUGAAGAUGAAAGUGCUGUCCUGUAUGAUGUUCGCCUUCCUGCUGUCAGCUGGAGCCAGUCUGACUCAGGGCCAGCUGAAUCGUAUUGUAGAAAAAAUCAGGAACGAAUACCGGAUUGAUGGACAGUUCUGUCUGGCUGCAGUCUUCCCACCAGGACUGGACCCAAACACUGAUGUUUUUAAGAACGACCGCUUUCAGGCUGUUUCUCCCGUCAUUGGAGAAAGUAGCUCAGACAAUAACCUUCGUGGCGUGUAUGCCAGCCAAAGGCUGAUUGUAGCCAGACCAACAUUACCAGUAAACGGACGAAGUGGAGAGCAUGCAGAACGUCGUGUUCUGCAAGCCCUGAGAAAUCAGCUGAAAUCCCAGAACAUCCAGGGAAGUGACCUCCUCAUC